AUUGAACGCUGGCGGCAUGCUUUACACAUGCAAGUCGAACGGUAACAGGCCGCAAGGUGCUGACGAGUGGCGAACGGGUGAGUAAUGCAUCGGAACGUGCCCAGUCGUGGGGGAUAACUGCUCGAAAGAGCAGCUAAUACCGCAUACGAUCUAUGGAUGAAAGCGGGGGACCGUAAGGCCUCGCGCGAUUGGAGCGGCCGAUGUCGGAUUAGGUAGUUGGUGGGGUAAAGGCUCACCAAGCCAACGAUCUGUAGCUGGUCUGAGAGGACGACCAGCCACACUGGGACUGAGACACGGCCCAGACUCCUACGGGAGGCAGCAGUGGGGAAUUUUGGACAAUGGGCGCAAGCCUGAUCCAGCCAUGCCGCGUGUCUGAAGAAGGCCUUCGGGUUGUAAAGGACUUUUGUCCGGGAGCAAAUGCUGGUGGCUAACAUCCACCGGAGCUGAGAGUACCGGAAGAAUAAGCACCGGCUAACUACGUGCCAGCAGCCGCCGCAGUAA
rnacentral:rRNA from 1 species